UUUCUAAAUUAUGCCAAUUCACUCAGUCCGUUGCUCUAAAUUCAUCUUAAAUAUUUAAAAUUUAUGGUGCCUGCCCAUCUGAAGGCAGGCACUGGAACUACUGCUUUUUAAGCCUGGAAUGAGCAAGGGUGCCAGCGCAAGGUUGGUGAUGCUCUAUCCAAACCCAGAAAAAAAUCCAUUAGCCCCAGGAGAAAUCAAACUCGAUCCUUAGCCAGUGACCUUUCCAGGCAGGGAGCAAUGUGUUCUGCGACUGACAUCCAUUUGUUUAGCAACUUGUAGGCCUCCUUGAGGAAAAAAUGUAUUUUGUCAACACCUUUGAAAAAGAGCUCAGUUUGCUGCCAGUCUGAGCUGGGUUCAUUCCAGCUUUAAUUUUUCUAUGGUCUUAAAAGAUAACAAAAAGUGCAACUUCUUCCUCUCCUCCAUGCCUGUUAUCCACUGAUUUUUACUUCACUUUUUAAUGAGUAGCAGAAACUUAAAUUUAAUUGCAAUAAACAGGAGUCCAGGUACAAAUUUCAGAUUAUCUAUAGUACGUAACAUAAUAUUUGUGACUUGAAAUAUGUUUCUGACUUGAAAUCUUUUAAUUUCUCUAGUACCACUUGAAUAUUUUAUGUUCUCAAAAAAAAUGAUUUAUAAUAUGCAAGGUGUUUGACCUCAGAAAGGCUAAAUUAGAAAUCCAUCUGUUUUUCAAAAUGUUCCUCCACUCUACAUUUUGCUCGACUGACUGAUACGUGCAAUCUAGUGGACUUAAAUAUCACCUGUUAAACAUAGCUGGAGUAAACAUGUAGAUGCUGGCACAUCAGUUACUGUAAACUCGUAAACAGCAGCAUGGGUUAAUUAAGAUAAUUUUUACUAGGCUACAGAGAGGAUUGCUUGAGUGCAAAAACAUGAAGCAUGUGUGUGACAGCCAAACCACACCCAUAGACAUACGCACAGUCUAUGCUUUCUAUUUUUCUGCCUCUAUUUGAGCAGAAACAAAAGCUCUUCAAACAGGCUGCUCAAGAUGAGCUCCAUAGCACUGGACCUUCUUUUGAAGGCUUCACUGACCAAAAAUAUGUCCAUUCUUGAAGAUGUGUUAGGAAAGCAGCUACCUCUUGUUUAUAGCUUCCUAAAUGGUUUGCUCCAAAGUAAAACUCUGUAUGGAUGCAGCGCUUGGUCUCAGUGAUCCAGAUUGCAAUAUUUAAUUUGUGUUUCAUCUUGAGUAAGAUGAUACUUAAGAACAUUAUUUUGGAAAUGCAGAGAGACUUCAAAUUGAACUUCCCUUAAAAAUAAGCAUAGAUUUUGACUUUGAGACUGAUAAAACAAUAGCAUUAUUGUUAAUUUUGCAACUUCUGUGUCUGUUGAGCCACCACCACAAAUAAGUUACAGUUUUAUUAUUUCACAUUUUUCUCAAAAGGAAGAUAGACCACACACCUGUUAGGCAAUUCCAUAUUAUAGCUCAUCUUUCUGAGAACAUUUUUUUUUGUAUUAUAUUGUUAUGACAUAAUGCGAUUGUGCUCAUAUUUCACAGUUACAAGGAAAUUAUUGUGCAAAUGAUUUCUAUAGACUCACUGCUUUUUAACUGUAGAUAUGUAGAUACCUGCCUCCACGUUGGAGUUCUGGUUUGUUUGUGAAAUGACCAUAGAAAUGGAAGUUCUGGUUCCAUUUCUUUAAUUCCCAUCUGUUAAAUCUCAUUGUCUUUGUGGGCAAAAGUAAGGAUUUAGUACUUGUUUUACUCUUUAACAAGCUGUACCAACAAAGCUAGGAAAAUUGAGAAAAGCAGAACAGGACUGAACAGAGCUGUUGGUUGCAGUUCAAGGACUAACUUCCAUCCUCACUUCUGUGUGCGGUCUGUCUGUAGAGGGGAGUUGAACAGACAAAUGUUGAACAGACAAGAUGUUCCAAGUCCAUUUUUCUUGCUCAUAAACUUUAGUCGUAAGGGGCCUCUUUGUCAACUGCUUCUUUCAGACAAGGCACUGGCCUCUGAACCUGACAAAGGUUACUCUUUAAAAGCAGUGCAUGUCAGCCCCAUACCCACAGCAGGCAUCGUAGCUUCAUGGCCAUCUCCAGUCCCGAAGAUUGACUUGUAUCUUACAAAGAGGAACUUCAUGUGAAUCUGUCGGCUUCACUGGAUUCAUCUUUAACAGCACGUGAUAUUAGGGGUUAGAAACUGUUUAGCCAAAUUCAAGAAGAUACAUUGUACCUAGUGCACUGUUGCACUGUUGGGAAAUCUGGCACAUUUAAGAAGACGACAAAAUACUAAAGUCUCCAGGUUGUACCUGCUGAAACUCCAGUACCUACAGCUCAUGGAUACUGAGCAUGACGUUGACAGGACUAGUGAAAACAAGUAGAAAUGAUACAAAAUGAACAUGUGAACAGCCGCCGUUGUAAUUGAUGGUACUCUUCGAUGAUUAAUAUUGUUUUUAAUGUUAGUAUUUAAUUUGUUCAGCUGUGCUUUUACUGGCUUUAGCAAGAUAAUCAACUGUAAACUCAUAGUUCUAACAUUCUAGUUUUAAACUGUAUAAAAGGUUUAUUUGCAGCUGUACUAUGUUAUUAAGUGCCAUGACAUGGAAAAGCUGAACAAUUUAUACUGGUGCCUUUCAACUCUUCCAUUAAUGUGCUGCUACAGAACAGGAGGAUAUGUUUUCUGAUUACCUGCUCCCUUAACAUCGUAAUCUCUCAAAUACUUCAUUCCUGAAAUAUUUCAGCUAUGCAGACCACCCAGAAGGGCUCAGCAGACAAGAAGUUACAAACUGGAGACUUUCUCUUCAACUCCUCAUGUUAGUGGGCCAAGCAGUAGGUAAGAAAUGAAGCGGCUCCUGGAGAAAGCUAUCAAUUUUUAUUUUUAAUGAAGAAGCUAUCAGAGACACAUAGAAGUCACCAGCUUUCAUAAAACUGUCCCAUCUAGCCCCUUUUUAAAGAACUGUAAUCCAGCUGCAAACUUGGACAAUUGCCAUCUCACUUAGCCACUUCUCGGUUUCUUGCAGCAGUAAAGCUUGACUAUCGGAUUUUAGUGGAAAAGCCGACCUACGGAUUACAUUUGUUUCCUGAUGUUACAGAUCUCAGUCAAGCAAAGCCAGGAGAGCACUUCAUUUUACACAACAUAAAUACACCUCUUUGUAUGCUGGAGAAACAUGCUAGCACUGUUUUUAGUCAAGCUAUAUUAUUAUGCGUUUGGUUAAAAAUGUCAAAACCUAUGUAUAAUUACAACCACUCCUUGUCCAGGUCAAGAGCUCUCAAAAUAUGUCAUUGUCUAAAAUAAACACGCAUCUGUACAGAAAUCAGAAGGGUGUAAGUGGAGGGUACUGCUUGGUGUGACUGCGUGCGUAUAUUGAAGAACCACUACAGAAAUACCUACAGGAGGAACAGCCAACCACAGUCACAGCAGGGCCAGUAAUGACUCAAAGAGAAAAGCAUAAUGAUAAAACUAUCAGGCUGAGCGCUAACUGAAAAAGAAUGGAAGCUCUGAGAAACUAUUCUGCUUGAUCUCUUCUGUGUUCAGAGAAGCAGGACUCUGUAUAUCCUUUUUGUUGCAAUAUUGUAUACAAAUCCCUGUGGAACGUGGCAGAUUUGGGAAGAAGAAUUAAAUCACAAAACAUAGGUGGUUACAGAAACAAGUGGUCAGUUCAUACUGAAUCACUCAAAAUAUUCUCUUUCUUCAGUUUGUGUUGGUGAUUCAAAAAAAUACAAUCUCUAUUCCACGUGAUACACAUUUUAGAUUUAAAAAAUACACCUGCGUAUACUUUUAUAUAAAUAUGCAAACUAUAAACACAACAUAUAAACAAUUUUAAUAUACUAUUUGCUAACAGCCCACCAAGCGUUUUAUAAUUCUUAAUAUUUGAGAUUGUUCAAGACUGAAGACACUUUAAACUAUUUUGACCUCUCUGUUUGCAAAUCUAACCAAAUUUCCCUGUGGCUAGCAGUAGAGCCUGAUCUUUAAGACACUGUGAUGUGAAGUUGCUGUUACUUCAGGAACCGUGUGUCCUGUACAAUUAGAUUUCUGAAUGAACCUCUACCCUCCUGCAGCCGGAUACAUUUUAUGCAUCCUGGAACAGAAAGGGAAAACUUAAAGUUAGGCCUUUGCAAAUGAUGGAUCGUACUUUCCACCACCACAGGGACGCUAUAGGGGUGUGAGGAGUGGUUGCCUGCUUGCCUGUGAGAACACAAGCGCGAUGGGCAUCUCUCCCUUGAAGAACAGGCUGAGUGGACUCAAUCUCCCAGGGAACUACUACACAGCAUGAAGCAAAAGUACAAGAUGCCAUACAAUCCAAAGAGACAUGCAGGAUUUUGCUCUGCUGAUAAGCAUCCUGAAAUACAAUUAAAUCUGACGUCCUCUGAAACCGCCCAGGAAGAUGGCCAACUAUCUGGCCAAACUUCUGAAGGACCAAAUGGGAGUGAGACGUGACAUAUGGGUCUUCCUUCACCUUGUAAUCCAGACUUGCAGUGAGUCAGUAGGACUGUCUGCAGGAACUGAAGUCCUUAUUCUUUUCAUGAUCUUAUAAACCAGUUGUUCAGCAUGGAAAUAAGGAUAUUCUACUUCACUUGACACAAGCACCAGUGGCAACCAGGGUGCUAGAAAAGUGGCAAUAUGCAGAGGCUGAAUGAAAUGGUCCCUCAUUAGCAAUGACCCUGAGUCCCCAGUGUAAUGAGGAUUCCUUUGAUAAGACAAUCUUAAGGCUACAUAAGAAUAAACAUAUGUGUCCUGAAGAUCAAGAGGUCUGAUGCUCUCUCUUCUGAGAAACCGAAGUGACAUUGAUUGAAGUCACCAGCUUGAAGAUGCAGAGGUCGACUUUUUUGGAAGUAUAGGGUAGAUCAUCACCAUUCUCCAGCACCAAAGAUACUCAUCAGAGUAUCUCUUGUUUCAGAGCUGCAUGAGGAUUAGUUUCUAAAAUUCUUGAACACACUUCCUGGAGAAAAAAAAAAAAAAAAAAGGAUGCAGCUGGGGAAUUCCAGAGAAGCAGCAAAGCCAACUACACUUCUGGUCACUCUGCAUCUGCUAAUGUGGGAGGAAGAGCUGACUGGAAAGGCACAGAAGAAGGCAUGAGACAUUUUCUCUUCACUUUUUGCUUCUAGUCACAAAUUCAGGGCUGUUGCCUGCAAACUCUGAGCUGAUUAAAGAAACUGAAGUAGAGAGAGAUGUUGGCAGUGACCACUGUUCCUGCUGGAAAUGCCAGAACUGGCCAUUCUGUAGCUCUUGCCAAACACACAGUCCCUUGCCCAGACCAGUCCAAAGCUGGACUGAUACCAGCAGAAUCUUUCCAUCUGGAUUGUUCCCAAAAUGAAGACGACAGAAGGGUUUUUGUAAUGCUUGUAAUGCUUUUUGCCUUGCAUUUUGUGUUUGCCAGAACAGUGAGGGCUGAACAAGCUUAAAGAAACUCAGAUGGAGCCAGCUACACACAUCAUUACGUGCUUUAGCACACUGAAUAUAAGGGAGAGCAAGUCUAAAAUGCUACUCUGUAGCUUAUACAAUGGGAAAAACUUUUUUUUCUUCCAGGUACUGGUCAUGCUUUCAUAUAUAUGCAUAGUAGAAGUAUAUGGUAUUAGUCCUUAAAGACGGAAUGACUUGGGUUUUGCUGUAGCACCUUUUUUAAUGUCCCCUUCAAAAUGAAGUAUUUUGGUAUGUUAAAAUUGGUAAUUGGUGGGUUUGUCAUUAGGGCAUCUGCAUCUAAAAGCCAAUGUAGACUUCAAUUUAUUAAAACAGAUGGGAAGAAAUCUCUUUCUUCUUUUCAGGGAAAUCCUGAGCCCAUGAUAGAUAGUAAUAAUGGACCCAAAUGCUAAGAGGUUCAAGUCUGACAUUUGGAACGUCAUGCUCAGUCCUUUAGGGAGGUUAAAGCAAUAAUAACAGAUCAAAACACAGAUAUGUAUGGCAGUUUAAGUUUAAAGGGUAUUUUCUCUCA